CAGCAGCCACGGGAAUACGUAGGUGGCAAGCGUUGUCCGGAAUUAUUGGGCGUAAAGGGCUCGCAGGCGGUUUCUUAAGUCUGAUGUGAAAGCCCCCGGCUCAACCGGGGAGGGUCAUUGGAAACUGGGAAACUUGAGUGCAGAAGAGGAGAGUGGAAUUCCACGUGUAGCGGUGAAAUGCGUAGAGAUGUGGAGGAACACCAGUGGCGAAGGCGACUCUCUGAUCUGUAACUGACGCUGAGGAGCGUAAGCGUGGGGAGCGAACAGGAUUAGAUACCCCGGUAGUCCCUGUCUCUUAUAC
rnacentral:rRNA from 1 species